AUUGAACGCUGGCGGCAGGCCUAACACAUGCAAGUCGAGCGGAGCGGCGGAGGGGUGGGUAAUGCCUAGAAAUUUGCCUGGUGGUGGGGGAAAAGGUCGGGAAAGGGGCGCUAAUACCGCAAACAUUAAGAUGGGCUUAGGUGGGAUUAGUUAGUUGGUGGGGUAAAGGCCUACCAAGGCGACGAUCCGUAACUGGUCUGAGAGGAUGAUCAGUCACACUGGAACUGAGACACGGUCCAGACUCCUACGGGAGGCAGCAGUGGGGAAUAUUGGACAAUGGGCGAAAGCCUGAUCCAGCCAUGCCGCGUGUGUGAAGAAGGUCUUCGGAUUGUAAAGCACUUUAAGUUGGGAGGCGUUACCAACAGAAUAAGCACCGGCUAACUUCGUGCCAGCAGCCGCGGUAAUAC
rnacentral:rRNA from 1 species